UGGGGAAUAUUGGGCAAUGGGGGGAACCCUGACCCAGCAACGCCGCGUGAAGGAAGAAGGUUUUCGGAUUGUAAACUUCUGUCCUUGGUGAAGAGGAAGAGACGGUAGCCAAGGAGGAAGCUCCGGCUAACUACGUGCCAGCAGCCGCGGUAAUACGUAGGGGGCGAGCGUUGUCCGGAAUGAUUGGGCGUAAAGGGCGCGUAGGCGGUCGGUCACGGCGAAAGUGCAAACUCAGGGCUUAACCCUGAGCCUGCUUUCGAUACGGGCUGACUAGAGGAAGGUAGGGGAGAAUGGAAUUCCCGGUGGAGCGGUGGAAUGCGCAGAUAUCGGGAGGAACACCAGUGGCGAAGGCGGUUCUCUGGACCUUUCCUGACGCUGAGAAGCGAAAGCGUGGGGAGCAAACAGG
rnacentral:rRNA from 1 species